AAACUCUUGUAGCACAACUGAGUAAUUACUGAAUAACUUGUUCCACUACAACAAAAACGGUCUAUAGCGAUACUUUUAAAUAUAGGUACAUGUCAAAAAAGUGCUGCUAACUAAAAUUACCGACACUUUUAAAAAGUGUUGCUAUAUGUGAGGUCGCUAGGUAUAUAGUGACAGUUAAAGAGUGCCGCUAUGACCUAAAAAGGUGCUGCUAAUUUACCAACACUUAUUUAAGCAUUUAGCAACCGCCAAAACUUUAUCUCGUUGGCUGCGGUGGCGGAGAAGGACGACAGGAAAAGCUCUUCGUCUAGAAUUUCAAUAGAUUGAGUGAAGAGAGAAGAAAAGAUGGUAAUUGAUUUUUCUUCUUUUUUUUUCUGUUUGUAAUCGGGCCAAAUGGACCGGGUGUGGUGGGUUGAGUAGAGUAAUCUUUUAUUUUUGAUUGGAUUAGGCUUUAUAUUUAGACAUUAGUAGAUGUUUUUUUAAGUUUUAGGAUAAAUGGGACACUUACUCAAAAGUGUCCCAAACAUGUGUCCCUAUAACCUAAUUCUGUUGUAGUGUUCGAGCAUCGAAAUAACUUGUUCGAGCAUCGAAAUAACU
rnacentral:lncRNA from 1 species